AGCGAACGCUGGCGGCAGGCUUAACACAUGCAAGUCGAGCGGGCAUCUUCGGAUGUCAGCGGCAGACGGGUGAGUAACACGUGGGAACGUACCCUUCGGUUCGGAACAACUCUGGGAAACUGGAGCUAAUACCGGAUACGCCCUUAUGGGGAAAGGUUUACUGCCGAAGGAUCGGCCCGCGUCUGAUUAGCUAGUUGGUGGGGUAACGGCCUACCAAGGCGACGAUCAGUAGCUGGUCUGAGAGGAUGAUCAGCCACACUGGGACUGAGACACGGCCCAGACUCCUACGGGAGGCAGCAGUGGGGAAUAUUGGACAAUGGGCGCAAGCCUGAGCCAGCCAUGCCGCGUGAGUGAUGAAGGCCUUAGGGUUGUAAAGCUCUUUUGUCCGGGACGAUAAUGACGGUACCGGAAGAAUAAGCCCCGGCUAACUUCGUG
rnacentral:rRNA from 1 species